AAUGAGUACAUUUAAAAAGGAGAAUCAAUCGGAGGAUGAUGGCAGUAGUUCCAGCAGUAAGUGAUAAAGUUUUGGAGGCUUAAUAAUAAUCAGUGGAGAAGCCUAGCAUAUACCUCGAAAUUAAGUGAUAUACGUUGAUAUUGCUGAAUGUGCCUGUUGAUAUGAUACAUGAAGAAGGACAUAGCCACCAUUUCUGUAGUAUUUCUACCAUUUUACUGAUUUAGAAGAUGCUUAUCCAAAAACAACAGAGCAACUCCAACUCAGCUAUAAUGCCAUGACCAGGCCUGAAUCCCUUUGGACCGUGCAUGAGCUACUACAGCCGAGAUUUUCAGAUAUCGGUUCUCCUAUGAUAUUGCUUAUGAAGAAUGCAAGGUCAUUUGCUUUCUAGUUACAUGAGUACAUUGCCAGCCCUGACCUUUGUUCUGCUUGCGAGAAUGGUCUGACUUGCUCUGGUUCAGCACGAACAAGGCAGCCCCAGCUAAUUGGGCAAUUAAAAUUAAGGAACAUGCAGCACAAAGAGAUUCCUCACAUUCGACUCAACUCAGCAUAAAAUAUUGUUAAUUCAACAUUAAAAUGAACUUCCAUUUUUAAUAAA